AUUGAACGCUGGCGGCAGGCUUAACACAUGCAAGUCGAGCGGAGCGAGGGUGCUUGCACCUUAGCUUAGCGGCGGACGGGUGAGUAAUGCUUAGGAAUCUGCCUAUUAGUGGGGGACAACAUUCCGAAAGGAAUGCUAAUACCGCAUACGCCCUACGGGGGAAAGCAGGGGAUCUUCGGACCUUGCGCGAAUAGAUGAGCCGAAGUCGGAUUAGCUAGUUGGUGGGGUAAAGGCCUACCAAGGCGACGAUCUGUAGCGGGUCUGAGAGGAUGAUCCGCCACACUGGGACUGAGACACGGCCCAGACUCCUACGGGAGGCAGCAGUGGGGAAUAUUGGACAAUGGGCGGAAGCCUGAUCCAGCCAUGCCGCGUGUGUGAAGAAGGCCUUUUGGUUGUAAAGCACUUUAAGCGAGGAGGAGGCUACUUAGAUUAAUACUCUGGGAUAGUGGACGUUACUCGCAGAAUAAGCACCGGCUAACUCUGUGCCAGCCGCCGCAGUAA
rnacentral:rRNA from 1 species